CCUACGGGUGGCAGCAGUGAGGAAUAUUGGUCAAUGGGCGCGAGCCUGAACCAGCCAAGUAGCGUGAAGGAUGACUGCCCUACGGGUUGUAAACUUCUUUUAUAAAGGAAUAAAGUGAGGCACGUGUGCCUUUUUGUAUGUACUUUAUGAAUAAGGAUCGGCUAACUCCGUGCCAGCAGCCGCGGUAAUACGGAGGAUCCGAGCGUUAUCCGGAUUUAUUGGGUUUAAAGGGUGCGUAGAGGGGUUGUUAAGUCAGUUGUGAAAGUUGGGGGCUCAACCGUAAGAUUGCAAUUGAUACUGGCAGUCUUGAGUAGAGGUGAGGUAUGCGGAAUGCGGGGUGUAGCGGUGAAAUGCUUAGAUAUCGCGAAGAACUCCGAUUGCGAAGGCAGCUUACUA
rnacentral:rRNA from 1 species